UACGAGGGGGGCGAGCGUUGUUCGGAAUUAUUGGGCGUAAAGCGUGCGCAGGCGGUUAUGUAAGACAGAUGUGAAAUGCCCGGGCUUAACCUGGGAACUGCAUUUGUGACUGCAUGGCUAGAGUUUGGCAGAGGGGGGUAGAAUUCCACGUGUAGCAGUGAAAUGCGUAGAUAUGUGGAGGAACACCGAUGGCGAAGGCAGCCCCCUGGGUCAAGACUGACGCUCAUGCACGAAAGCGUGGGGAGCAAACAGG
rnacentral:rRNA from 1 species